rnacentral:rRNA from 1 species
UCGCCUGUUUAUCAAAAACAUGUCUUUUUGAUAAUAAUUUAAAGUCUAAUCUGCCCACUGAUUUAAAUAUUAAAGGGCUGCAGUAUAUUGACUGUACAAAGGUAGCAUAAUCAUUAGUCUUUUAAUUGGAGACUUGUAUGAAAGAUUUGAUGAGAUAUAAACUGUCUCUGAUUUAUUAUUAGAAAUUAAUUUUUUAGUUAAAAAGCUAAAAUAAUAUUAAAAGACGAGAAGACCCUAUAGAGUUUUAUAUUUUAUUUAUUUAAUAUUUAAUAUAUAAUUAAAUUAUAUUAAAUAAAUAAAAUAUUGUAUUGGGGUGAUAGAAAAAUUUAAUAAACUUUUUUUUAAAAAUGAACAUAAAUAAGUGAUUAAUUGAUCCAUUAAUAAUGAUUAAAAGAAAAAAUUACCUUAGGGAUAACAGCGUAAUGUUUUUUUUUAGUACAAAUAAGAAAAAAAGUUUGCGACCUCGAUGUUGGAUUAAGAUAAAAUUUAAAUGCAAAAGUUUAAAAUUUUGAUCUGUUCGAUCAUUAAAAUCUUACAUGAUCUGAGCUCAAACCGGA